GGGAAAUUAGGAAUCAAUGCAAUCGACAUAACCAAUCACACAAUGACAGACGCUCCACUUAGCACCAACUGCAAUGUUUCAUUUUAAAUGAACGUAGCCUACUGGCAGUCUGGCACACGUGGGUGCUCCGUACCUUCCGUGGGUGCUCGAGCCCCAGAGCACCCACAGUAUCGGCGCCUAUGGGCCCUGCAGAAG